UACGGGGGGGGCAAGCGUUGUUCGGAAUUACUGGGCGUAAAGGGCUCGUAGGUGGCCAACUAAGUCAGACGUGAAAUCCCUCGGCUUAACCGGGGAACUGCGUCUGAUACUGGAUGGCUUGAGUUCGGGAGAGGGAUGCGGAAUUCCAGGUGUAGCGGUGAAGUGCGUAGAUAUCUGGAGGAACACCGGUGGCGAAGGCGGCAUCCUGGACCGACACUGACACUGAGGAGCGAAAGCCAGGGGAGCAAACGGG
rnacentral:rRNA from 1 species